rnacentral:tRNA from 5 species
CCCGGGGUGGAGCAGAGGUAGCUCGCCAGGCUCAUAACCUGGAGGUCAUAGGUUCAAAUCCUGUCCCCGGAA